AAAAUGAAACGACUCUCAGCAAUAGAUAUCUCGACUCUUGCAUCAAUGAAGAAUGUAGCGAAAUGCGAUACUUGGUGUGAAUUCCAGAAUCCCAUGAACCAUCGAAUCUUUAAACGCAAGUUGCACCCCAAGCCAUUAGGUUGAGGGCACGUCUGCCUGGGUGUCAUGCAUCAUCGCCCACCCUUGACCACCUUCCCGUCGGGUUUCGAAAGAAGGGGGCUGGCAGAAGAUGGCCUCCCAUGAUCUCGUCAGUCAGGGUUGGCCCAAAAACGAGUCCCCGGCAACGACAACGUCAUGACCAUCGGUGGUAGAGCUUCUUGGGUGCCUCACCCCUGAUGACGCGUGCUCAUUGUCCACCCAGACCCCGUCGGACCCCCCAUAUCACUCAGUCGAUGCUCGCAUUGUGACCCUAGGUUAGGCGGGAUCACCGGCUGAGUUUAAGCAUAUCAAUAAGUGGAGGAAAAAGAAACUUACUAGGAUUCCCCUAGUAAGGGUGAGCGAAUCGAGAAGAGCCCAGCUUGAGAAUUGGGCACCCUCGGUGUCUGAAUUGUAGUAUGGAGAAACGUCCUUAGUGGCGGACCAGGCCCAAGUCCCCUGAAAAGGGGCAUCGGAGAGGGUGAGAGCCCCAUCGUGCUUGGACCUUGUCGCACCACGAGGCUUUGUUUGCGAGUCGGGUUGUUUGGGAAUAUAGCCCCAAUCGGGGCGGUAAAUUUCAUCUAAGGCUGAAUAUGAGCGAGAGACCGAUAUUGAAUAAGUACUGCGAGGGAAAGAUGAAAAGGACUUUGAAAAGAAAGUCAAAGAGUGCUUGAAAUUGUCAAGAAAGAAGCGUAUGGGGGUCGAUGAUGCACCUCGAUCAGAUGUGGAACUGCGAGAGCCAUUCCGUCGAUCGACUCGGGGCAUGGACCAAUGUGGGUCAGGCAAUGGCCUAAGCCCAGGCUUUCAAUGUGCCUAAGGAGACAUCAUCAUCGUAAUCAUGAAAUGCAACACGCGCCAUCUCGGCAUGCCACAGCACCCAUGUGCUCCUGACGUCGGCCUGCGGGCUCCCCAUAUGACCUGUCUUGAAACACGGACCAAAGAGUCUGACAUGUGUGUGAGUCAACGACCUAAAAAACCAGUAAGGCGCAAGGAAGUUGAAUGGUGGGAUCCUUCACGAGUGCAUCGUCGAUCGACCUUGAUCUUCUGAGAAGGUUUGAGUGCGAGCAUGCCGUUGGGACCCGAAAGAUGGUGAACUAUUCCUGAGCGGGAUAAAGCCAGAGGAAAUUCUGGUGGAGGCCCGUAGCAAUACUGACGUGCAAAUUGUUCAUCUAACUUGGGUAUAGAGGCGAAAGACUAAUCAAACCGUCUAGUAGCUAGUUCCUUUCGAAGUUUCCCUCAAGAUAGCUGGAUCUUCCGACGAGUUCUAUCGGGUAAAGCCAAUGACUAGAGGAAUCAAGGGCGCAACGUCCUCGACCUAUUCUCAAACUUUAAAUAGGUAGGUCGGUGCGACUGCUUCAUUGAGCCAUGCCAUAGAAUCGAAAGCUCCAAGUGGGCCAUUUUUGGUAAGCAAAACUCGCGAUGUGGGAUGAACUAAAGCCAGGUUACAGUGCCCAACUGCACGCUAACCCAAAACCCACAAAGGGUGUUGGUCGAUUAAGAUAGCAGGAUGGUGGUCAUGAAAGUCAAAAUUCGCUAAUGAGUGUGUAACAACUCACCUGCUGAAUCAACUAGCCCUAAAAAUGGAUGACACUUAAGCGUGAGACCUAUACCCGAUCAUCGAGGCAAGGGCCAGGCCCCAAUGAGUAGAAAGAUGUAGUGGUCACCGGGAAACCCAGGGUGCGAGCCCGAGCGGAGUGGCCAUCAGUACAGAUCUUGGUGGUAGUAGCAAAUAUUCAAAUAAGAACUUUGAAGGUUGAAGAAGGGAAAGGUUCCAUGUGAACGGCACUUACUUAUGGGUUAGUCGACCUUAAGAGACGGGGGAAGCCCAUCCAACAGUGCGUCCCGUGUGAGCUUCAAAAGAAAAUCGGGUUAAAAUUCCUAAACUGAGAUGCGGUGGCUGACGACAAUGUUAGGGAGUCUAGAGACGUCAAUGGGGGCCUCGAGAAGAGUUACCUUUUCUAUUUAAAGGCUCGCCUACCCUAAAAAUGGCUUAGUCGGAGGUAGGGUCAAGCGGUCGGAAGAGCACCGUACAUCGCAUUGAACAGCCUCUGGUCAAUAGAACAAUGUAGGUAAUGAAAGUCAACAAAAUGGAUCCGUAAUCUCGAGAAAAGGAUUGGCUCUAAGGGCUGGGCAUGGGGGUCCCAAUCUCGAACCUAUUGGUAAUUAGUGCACUGCUCGAGCUACUCUUACAGUGAGAGCGGGUCACUGCGUACCGAUCGAGGGACGGAUUAGGAUGGCUCCCUCAAAGCCUUCUCUGGGUGAUGAAUAGUUGACUCAAAACUGGUACAGAUAAGGGGAAUCUCACUAUUUAAUUAAAAGAAAGCAUUGCGAUGGUCCCUGCAGAUGCUCACAUAAUGUGAUUUUUGCCCAGUGCUCUAAAUGUUGAAGUGAAGAAAUUCAACCGAGCACGGGUAAACGAUGGGAGUAACUAUGACUCUCUUAAGGUAGCCAAAUGCCUCAUCAUCUAAUUAGUGACGCACAUGAAUAGAUUAACGAGAUUCCCACAAUCUUUAUCUACUAUCCAAUGAAACCACAGCCAAGGGAACGGGCUUGGCGGAAUCAGCGGGGAAAGAAGACCCUGUUGAGCUUGACUCUAGUCCGACUUUGUAAAAUGACUUGAGAGGUGUAGGAUAAGUGGGAGCCCCUGGGCAAAAUUGAAAUACCACUACUUUUAACGUUAUUUUACUUAUUCCAUGAAUCAGAGGCGGGGUACAACCCCUUCUUUUAGACCCAAGGUCGACCUCGAUUGGUCGAUCUGGGUGAAAAACAUUGUCAGGUGAAAAGUUUGGCUAGGGUGGCACAUCUGUUAAAAGACAAGGCAUGUGUCCUAAGAUGAGCUCAACGAGAACAUAAAUCUCAUGUGGAACAAAAGGGUAAAAGCUUGUUUGAUUCUGAUUUCUAGUACGAAUAUGAACCAUGAAAGCAUGGCCUAUCGAUCUUUUAGACCUUCAAGAUUUAAAACUAGAGGUGUCAGAAAAGUUACCAUAAGGAUAGCUGGCUUGUGGCAGCCAAGCAUUCAUAGCGACGUUGCUUUUUGAUCCUUCGAUGUUAACUCUUCCUAUCAUUGUGAAGUAGAAUUCACCAAGUGUUGGAUUGUUCACCCACCAAUAGGGAACGUGAGUUGGGUUUAAACCAUCGUGAGACAGGUUAGUUUUACCUUACUGAUGGCAGCAUUGCGAUAGUAAUUCAACCUAGUACGAGAAGAACCGUUGAUUUGCACAAUUGGUCAUUGCACUUCGUUGAAAAGCUAGUGGUGUGAAGCUACCAUGUGCUGGAUUAUGACUGAAUGCCUUUAAGUUAGAAUCCGGGCUAGAAGCAAUGCGCAAGCUCGCCGCCUGAUUGUCGACCUGCAUAAGGCCCAUGGCCCCUAAGGGCAUGUGUCGUAUAUGCAGCCCCUACGACAGAUGAGUCACGCGGGCCUCCUUG
rnacentral:rRNA from 1 species